GACGAACGCUGGCGGCGUGCUUAACACAUGCAAGUCGAACGAUGAAGCCUUUCGGGGUGGAUUAGUGGCGAACGGGUGAGUAACACGUGGGCAAUCUGCCCUUCACUCUGGGACAAGCCCUGGAAACGGGGUCUAAUACCGGAUAACACUCUGUCCCGCAUGGGACGGGGUUAAAAGCUCCGGCGGUGAAGGAUGAGCCCGCGGCCUAUCAGCUUGUUGGGUGGGGUGAUGGCCUACCAAGGCGACGACGGGUAGCCGGCCUGAGAGGGCGACCGGCCACACUGGGACUGAGACACGGCCCAGACUCCUACGGGAGGCAGCA
rnacentral:rRNA from 1 species